AUACCACAAACUGUUAUUCCAUCAUCUUUAUCAUUUUAGAUUUACUGUUAAGUAUUAUUUCUGUUUAAACACACACAUGUGGCACCAUGUUUUCUUUUAAACUAGGUAGGUAAGUAAGUAAGUAGGACUGUAAGUAGGUAGGUAAAUUAGGUAAGUAGGUAAGAAAGUAAAUAGGUAGGUAAGUAAUUAGGUAUGUAGGUAGGCAAGUGGGUAAGUAAGUAGUAAGUAAGUGGGAGGGUAAGUAGGUAGGUAGGUAAGCAAGUAGGUAAGUAGCUAGGCAAGUAGGUAAGUAAGUAGGUAGGUAAGUAAGUAGGUAUGUAAGUAAGUUAGUAGGUAAUUAGGUAGGAAAGUAAGUAAUUAGGUAAGGAGCUAGGCAAGUAGGUAAAUAAGUAGGUAAUUAGGUAGGUAAGUAAAUGGGUAAUUAGGUAAGUAAGGAAGUAUGUAAGUAAGUAGGUAGGUAAGUAAUUAGGUAUGUAGGUGGGUAAGUAAGUAGUAAGUAUGUGGGAGGGUAGGUAGGUAAGUAAAUGGGUAAUUAGGUAGGUAUGUAAGUAAGUAGGUAGGUAAGUAAUUAGGUAUGUAGGUAGGUAAGUAAGUAGUAAGUAUGUGGGAGGGUAGGUAGGUAAGUAAAUGGGUAAUUAGGUAGGUAUGUAAGUAAGUAGGUAGGUAAGUAAUUAGGUAUGUAGGUAGGUAAGUAAGUAGUAAGUAUGUGGGGGGGUAGGUAGGUAAGUAAGUAGGUAAUUAGGUAGGUAGGUAAGUAAUUAGGUAAGGAGCUAGGCAAGUAGGUAAGUAAGUAGGUAAUUAGGUAGGUAAGUAAAUGGGUAAUUAGGUAAGUAAGGAAGUAUGUAAGUAAGUAGGUAGGUAAGUAAUUAGGUAUGUAGGUGGGUAAGUAAGUAGUAAGUAUGUGGGAGGGUAGGUAGGUAAGUAAGUAGGUAAUUAGGUAGGUAGGUAAGUAAUUAGGUAAGUAGUUAGAGAAGUAGUUAAGUAAGUAUGUAAUUAGGUAAGUAAGUAGGUAGGUAAUUAGGUAGGUAAGUACUUAGGUAAGUAGCUAGGUAUGUAGGUAGGCAAGUGGGUAAGUAAGUAGUAAGUAUGUGGGAGGGUAAGUAGGUAGGUAAGUAAGUAGGUAUGUAGGUAGGCAAGUGGGUAAGUAAGUAGUAAGUAUGUGGGAGGGUAAGUAGGUAGGUAAGUAAGUAGGUAUGUAAGUAAGUUAGUAGGUAAUUAGGUAGGUAAGUACUUAGGUAAGUAGCUAGGCAAGUAGGUAAGUAAAUAGGUAAUUAGGUAAGUAAGGAAGUAGGUAAGUAGGUAGGUAAGUAAGGAAGUAGGUAAGUAAGUAGGUUAGUAGGUAAUUAGGUAGGUAAGUAGCUAGGCAAGUAGGUAAGUAAAUAGGUAAUUAGGUAAGUAAGGAAGUAGGUAAGUAAGGAAGUAGGAAAUGAAUUAGGUAUGUAGGUAGGCAAGUGGGUAAGUAGCUAGGUAAGUAGGUAUGUAAGUAAGUUAGUAGGUAAGUAAGUAAUUAGGUAAGUAGCUAGGCAAGUAGGUAAGUAAGUAGGUAAUUAGGUAAGUAGCUAGGCAAGUAGGUAAGUAAGUAGGUAAUUAGGUAAGUAGCUAGGCAAGUAGGUAAGUAAGUAGGUAAUUAGGUAAGUAGGUAGAAAGUAUGUAGGUAGGUAAGUAAGUUGGUAGGUAAGUAAGUUAGUAGGAAAUUAGUUUGGUAAGUAAGUAAUUGGGUAAGUAAGUAGGUAAGUACAUAGGUAGGUUAGUAGGUAAUUAGGUAGGUGGGUAAGUAGCUAGGCAAGUAGGUAGGUAGGUAAGAGUAUGUGGGAAGGUAAGUAAGAAGGUAAGUAAUUAGGUAUGUAGGUAGGCAUGUGGUUAAGUAAGUAGUAUGUAGGUGGUUAAGUAGGUAAGUAAACUAAUAGGUAAUUAAGUAUGUAGGUAUGUAAGUAGGUGGGUAAGUAUGUAGGUAGGUAAGUAAGUUAGUAGGUGAUUAGGUAGGUAGGUAAGAAAGUAGGCAAGUGGGUAAGUAAGUAGUAUGUAGGUGGUUAAGUAGGUAAGUUAGUUAACAGGUAAUUAUGUAGGUAUGUAAGUAAGUAGGCAGGUAAGUAAGUUAAUAGGUAAUUAAGUAUGUAAUUAAGUAGGUUAGUAGGUAAUUAGGUAGGUAGGUAAGUAAUUAGGUAAGUACAUAGGUAGGUUAGUAGGUAAGAAAGUAGGUAGGUAGGCAAGUGGGUAAGUAAGUAGUAUGUAGGUGGUUAAGUAGGUAAGUAAGUUAAUAGGUAAUUAAGUAUGUAGGUAUGUAAGUAAGUAGGUAGGUAAGUAAGUUAAUAGGUAAUUAGGUAGGUAAGUAAGUAAUUAGGUAAGUAGGUAGGUAGGUAAUAAAGUAAGAAGUUAGGUAAGUAAUUAGGUAUGUAGGUAGGCAAGAGGGUAAGUAAGUAGUAUGUAGGUGGUUAAGUAGGUAAGUAAGUUAAUAGGUAAUUAAGUACAUAGGUUGGUAAGUAAGUAAUUAGGUGAGUACAUAGGUAGGU